rnacentral:rRNA from 1 species
GAAACUGGGUCUAAUACCGGAUAGGACCAUGGUUUAGUGUCUCAUGGUGGAAAAAUUAUUGUUUUGGUGCAGGAUGAGCUCGCGGCCUAUCAGCUUGUUGGUGGGGUAAUGGCCUACCAAGGCGUCGACGGGUAGCCGGCCUGAGAGGGUGGACGGCCACAUUGGGACUGAGAUACGGCCCAGACUCCUACGGGAGGCAGCAGUGGGGAAUAUUGCACAAUGGGCGCAAGCCUGAUGCAGCGACGCCGCGUGGGGGAUGACCGGCUUCGGGUUGUAAACUCCUUUCGUUAGGGACGAAGCCACACUUUUUUUGGGUGUGGUGACG